UACGAGGGGGGCGAGCGUUGUUCGGAAUUAUUGGGCGUAAAGGGUGCGUAGGCGGCCUGACAAGUCUGAUGUGAAAUCCCUGGGCUCAACCCAGGGCCUGCAUCGGAAACUGUCGGGCUUGAGUAUGGGAGAGGUGAGUGGAAUUUCCGGUGUAGCGGUGAAAUGCGUAGAGAUCCGGAGGAACACCAAAGGCGAAGGCAGUGUCCUGGGGAGUACCUGACGCUCAGGUGCGAAAGCCAGGGGAGCGAACGGG
rnacentral:rRNA from 1 species